AACGCUGGCGGCGUGCUUAACACAUGCAAGUCGAACGGAGUUAACAUGUGAGCGGAGAGUGCUUGCACUUAACAAUCUUUUGUUAACUUAGUGGCGGACGGGUGAGUAACGCGUGGGUAACCUGCCUCAUACAGGGGGAUAACACUUAGAAAUAGGUGCUAAUACCGCAUAAGCGCACAGUAUCGCAUGAUACAGUGUGAAAAACUCCGGUGGUAUGAGCUUGCGCCUGAUUAGCUAGUUGGUGUGGUAACGGCAUACCAAGGCGACGAUCAGUAGCUGUGCUGAGAGGCAGAACAGCCACAUUGGGACUGAGAUACGGCCCAGACUCCUACGGGAGGCAGCAGGUGGGGAAUAUUGCACAAUGGGGGAAACCCUGAUGCAGCGACGCCGCGUGAGUGAAGAAGUAUUUCGGUAUGUAAAGCUCCAUCAGCAGGGAAGAAAAUGACGGUACCUGACUAAGAAGCCCCGGCUAACUACGUG
rnacentral:rRNA from 1 species